rnacentral:rRNA from 3 species
AAAUUAAAACUUUUAACAACGGAUCUCUUGGUUCUGGCAUCGAUGAAGAACGCAGCGAAAUGCGAUAAGUAAUGUGAAUUGCAGAAUUCAGUGAAUCAUCGAAUCUUUGAACGCACAUUGCGCCCCCUGGUAUUCCGGGGGGCAUGCCUGUUCGAGCG